AUACAAACCAAGACCUCCCUCCAACAACCAGAAAAAAAAAGCCACUUGACUGUGAAAAAUAAACCAACAACAAAAUACUCCUGAGAAAUACAAAACUGACAAAACCUUUUCUUAAAGUUUACAACAACUCUUACACACACAGACACACACACUGACACACACACACACACACACACACACACGCCGAAUUGUCUCUACUGUGUUACGGGGACCAUUGUUCUGCCCGCAGAUGGCUGGUAGGAGUGUCCUGCUCUGACACUGUGGUAACAACGUUGGAGUGUGGGUGGGUGGGAAUGGCCUGGGAGUGGGUGGCAGGAGAAGUGCAGGGAUGGACACUCACUGGGCAUGAAACUCAGCUGUGAACUAUUCAUCUUUCUGUUCCUGUUGAAGGCUGAUUUUUCUUUUGGGUGAGAGGGAAGGACUUUGGUUUAGAAAGCUUCCUUGUCCACCUUGUAUACCUGCUAUGCCAAAUCUUCCAUCACUAACGUUUUCCCUCAUUUUCUUUAGCAGUGGAGGCUUUUCUCUCUCUCCCGUCCCCUUCCAAGACAGGUGGAAUUGCUGGAAGAAGUUAUUUUCCUUUGCCCUUCCCUAUCCCUCUCUGUUAAGGGUCCCUGGGCUUGAACUUUCUGUCUAGAUACUUCACGAACCUCCAUCCUUCUCAGAGGAAGGAGAGGAGAUGUGAAGGACCAAGGCGGGUAGGACCUGCCAUAUAACAGGCUCUGUGCCCUUGCUGCUCUUCCUCCUUCCCUUCUCUUGCCAUGUUGCUGCUGAUGAACACCAGCAAUUCUGGAGUGAUAGGCAUUCUCCAGACCUUCUCAGAGCCAGUUUUCUGCCAGUUGGUGGGGAGAAAUGGGUUGUGAAUGUUCUCGUUGUCAUGGCAAGCCAGGUUGUCAAGGAGUGGUGGAGGAAAAGACAGGAAGGUCUGGUCUUUCAGAGGUGUAUAGGGUUCCCAUCUCUCCAUGUUACAGGUCAGAGGUCCUCCCCUCCACACACGCCUAUGCUCAGGCUGCCCUUGAGUAGUCAGUUUAAUAUUCUCUGUUUAUGUCCUCCUUACUAUGAGGAAGGGACCUGGAGAGGACCUCAGCAGAACAAGUUCUCCAUGAAGCUUCUGCAGCUCUUCCCAACUGACUUCACCGUGGGCUGUGGGGUGGGUGUCCAUGAGAAGAGCAUCACCCAACCUCCUCACUUCCAGCUGAUCUUUCACACAAACCUGGCCACUCCUACCAUCUUCAGACAUCACACUUAG
rnacentral:lncRNA from 1 species